rnacentral:rRNA from 1 species
AGAGUUUGAUCAUGGCUCAGAUUGAACGCUGGCGGCAUGCCUUACACAUGCAAGUCGAACGGCAGCACGGGGGCAACCCUGGUGGCGAGUGGCGAACGGGUGAGUAAUACAUCGGAACGUGUCCUGUAGUGGGGGGAUAGCCCGGCGAAAGCCGGAUUAAUACCGCAUACGACCUAAGGGAGAAAGCGGGGGAUCUUCGGACCUCGCGCUAUAGGGGCGGCCGAUGGCAGAUUAGCUAGUUGGUGGGGUAAAGGCCUACCAAGGCGACGAUCUGUAGCUGGUCUGAGAGGACGACCAGCCACACUGGGACUGAGACACGGCCCAGACUCCUACGGGAGGCAGCAGUGGGGAAUUUUGGACAAUGGGGGAAACCCUGAUCCAGCAAUGCCGCGUGUGUGAAGAAGGCCUUCGGGUUGUAAAGCACUUUUGUCCGGAAAGAAAACCUCUUGGCUAAUACCUGAGGGGGAUGACGGUACCGGAAGAAUAAGCACCGGCUAACUACGUGCCAGCAGCCGCGGUAAUACGUAGGGUGCGAGCGUUAAUCGGAAUUACUGGGCGUAAAGCGUGCGCAGGCGGUUUGUUAAGACAGAUGUGAAAUCCCCGGGCUUAACCUGGGAACUGCAUUUUGUGACUGGCAAGCUAGAGUAUGGCAGAGGGGGGUAGAAUUCCCGUGUAGCAGUGAAAUGCGUAGAGAUGUGGAGGAAUACCGAUGGCGAAGGCAGCCCCCUGGGCCAAUACUGACGCUCAUGCACGAAAGCGUGGGGAGCAAACAGGAUUAGAUACCCUAGUAGUCC